rnacentral:rRNA from 1 species
AACGAACGCUGGCGGCAGGCCUAACACAUGCAAGUCGAGCGAACCCUUCGGGGUUAGCGGCAGACGGGUGAGUAACGCGUGGGAACCUACCCAGUGGUACGGAAUAGCCCAGGGAAACUUGGGGUAAUACCGUAUACGCCCGAGAGGGGAAAGAUUUAUCGCCAUUGGAUGGGCCCGCGUCGGAUUAGCUAGUUGGUGGGGUAACGGCCUACCAAGGUGACGAUCCGUAGCUGGUCUGAGAGGAUGAUCAGCCACACUGGGACUGAGACACGGCCCAGACUCCUACGGGAGGCAGCAGUAGGGAAUCUUCCGCAAUGGGCGAAAGCCUGACGGAGCGACGCCGCGUGAGUGAGGAAGGUCUUCNGAUCGUAAAGCUCUGUUGCCAGGGAAGAAGACUUG